rnacentral:lncRNA from 1 species
GUUAAAAGUACUAGUGGUAUGAAGAUGUGCUUCUAUAAUACUUUGAAAAUAAAUAGUCAGCAAUUCUCAAAUCUUGAUUAUGGUUGAAAAUAAAAUUGGAGUGAUUUACAUAAGCGGUGAAAUAUACUUUCAUUUCAACGUCUGUAUGGAACAAAACCUCUUCAUAUACAACACGAUUCUUUCAAAUAUAUUGGAAGUGUCCUUGAAUUUUAAAAUGAUGAAAAGAUUUUCAAGGAGAAAACUUUACUCUCAGUAAAGUAUUACAAAGUAAGUAACCGAAUGAAAAAAGAGAAACUAUUGUUACUCACACACAUCAACAUUUUGUUAAACCAAGAGUCACGUACCGUUAACAGAAAAUUAUUAUUAUUUCAAAAUAUUUUCGAUUUCAUAGGAUAAAUAAAGAGUCGGAAUGGGAAGGAGUUUUGUAAAAUUCAAGACCUGCAUAUGUAAAAUUUCAAAGGAUCUCCUGAGAAUGUCUUUUACCUAAGCAUGAGAACUAUUACUAGCCAGGAUGAUGAUUCUUGCUUCUAUGAAGUCUUUAAGUCAAUGUAAUAUAAGAAUAUAUUUUUUCAAUCCCUGCAUAUUCUAAGAUUGUCUAUGAUUAUGAAUUCCCGUGGAUCACAGGCUAAGUAUAUUUCUUUAUUUUGUUUUGCCUUUCCUGUGACUUUAUCUCAUCAACUACUCUGAUUGUGAUUUCUUCGCGUUGUUGUCCGUUGUAAAGCCUUGUGUUGUGUCCGUUUGUUAUUUGUUUUGUCCAUUGUAUUGUUGUUUCAUAUUUCAAUCUAUUUGUGAUAUGUCUAGUUUUUGUACUUAAAUAUAUGUAAAAAUUAUUGUUUUGUUUAAAUGUGGGUGGUUUUAUGUCAUACUUAAGGUAGGUAAUGACCAAUUCUAGUUCUCUUUAUACAUUUUAUUUUACAUGUGUGUAUAGGUCGAAUUUUAAGACGAUUCCUGGAAUUUACCUACUCAAAGUUGUUCAAGAGCGGAACUUGAUCUAAUGAAGACCUGAAUACCAUGAUUUGUUAACAAAAAGAUAUUCAAAAGAUCAAGAACAGUGAUUCUCAACCCUUUUACCUGUGCGGAGCCAAUUUUUUUCUUCUUCAAUAUCUUAAGCGAAGCCCUUGAGAAUGUACUGCGAAGCCUUAGUUGGGAACCACUAAUAUAAAAAAAUUGAAUAUUGUUCGUAGAAUGUGAUUUGAAAAACCUAUGAUAACAUUUAUAAAGAAUUAAUAAUGUAAUGAAUGUCGCUGUUCUUGUAACAAAUUACAUAUUUUUAAUACUAAUUAAAUUAUUUUUUGUUGUGAUUUCUUACAUGAAUGUCAUUCAGAAGUAGUUAAUAAAAGUAUAUUGAAAGGUU